rnacentral:misc_RNA from 1 species
CUCUGGGAAGAAAGUUGUGAAAGCAGCCUGACGGUACCAGAGGAAUCAGCAUCGGCUAACUCCGUGCCGGCAGCCGCGGUAAGACGGAGGAUGCAAGCGUUAUCCGGAAUGAUUGGGCGUAAGGCGUCCGCAGGUGGCAGUUCAAGUCUGCUGUCAAAGACCGGGGCUUAACUUCGGAAAGGCAGUGGAAACUGAACAGCUAGAGUAUGGUAGGGGCAAAGGGAAUUCCCGGUGUAGCGGUGAAAUGCGUAGAGAUCGGGAAGAACAUCGGUGGCGAAGGCGCUUUGCUGGACCAUAACCGACACUCAGGGACGAAAGCUAGGGGAGCGAAUGGGAUUAGAUACCCCAGUAGUCCUAGCCGUAAACGAUGGAUACUAGGUGUUGUCUGUAUCGACCCGGACAGUGCCGUAGCUAACGCGUUAAGUAUCCCGCCUGGGGAGUACGCACGCAAGUGUGAAACUCAAAGGAAUUGACGGGGGCCCGCACAAGCGGUGGAGUAUGUGGUUUAAUUCGAUGCAACGCGAAGAACCUUACCAGGACUUGGCAUGUCGCGAAUCCUUUUGAAAGAAAGGAGUGCCUUAGGGAGCGCGAACACAGGUGGUGCAUGGCCGUCGUCAGCUCGUGUCGUGAGAUGUUGGGUUAAGUCCCGCAACGAGCGCAACCCUCGUGUUUAGUUGCCAUCAUUAAGUUGGGAACUCUAAACAGACUGCCGGUGACAAACCGGAGGAAGGUGGGGAUGACGUCAAGUCAGCAUGCCCCUUACGUCCUGGGCUACACACGUACUACAAUGCGACGGACAAAGGGCAGCCAACCAGCGAUGGUGCGCUAAUCCCAUAAACCGUGGCUCAGUUCAGAUCGCAGGCUGCAACUCGCCUGCAUGAAGGCGGAAUCGCUAGUAAUCGCAGGUCAGCAUACUGCGGUGA